CCACGUCCUCCCAUUGGAUGAGCGAGACCUGAAGGUACUGUGAAAAAUGCCUGCAGUUUAGUUGUCUGGGCCUUGCACAAUGCAACCCCCACGUCGGGGGCUCCCUUCUCAGAAACCCCUGCCCGCCAAACAGGCUGUGACAGGAAGAGAGAGGAGCACCAAAGAGCUGCUUUCUUUAUGGCGUAUGUGGCAUGGGGCAGCAAGACACAGCCAUUUUAUUAGCAAAACUGCUGGCUUGAAAAGACAUGUUGGCUUAAAACCAUAAGAUGCCAUUCUUUUUUGUCUAUAAUAUUUGCAAAAAUAUUUAAAAACACAAUAUUCAAUGUUGGAAAGGGUAAAGAGUGAGUCUCAGAAUCUGCUGCUGCGAAUGCAAAUGGUUUGAGCAUAUGCAUCGAUCAAACGCUUACCGGGUGCCGGGUACCGUGCUGAGGGCUUCACCAACAGAUCUCACUUAAUCCUCAAAACAACCCUCUAAGCCCACAGGGAGCAUCCUGACCAGGCCCACCUGUGAAUGACUGCAGGAAGGAAGAAAUUAAUACAACCCCUCUGGAGUCUGGCUGGAACCAGGACUUUAUACCUUCCCUUUUCAGUAUAAAAGAAGCCUGAAUUCUAAAUCUGGGAAGAUGGUUCUUUGGAACACUAGUCCACCAUCUUUUCCAUCUGCUGGCUUUUCGAAUAAAGUGGCCAUUCCUUUCCCCAAUAACUCUUCUCUCUAUUUAUUGGUCUGUUGUGCAGCAAGCAGUAUGAGCUUGGACUCGAUAACAGGAUGACUGGUCAGAGUGGUCCUGAGUUGAGGCCACAGGAGGUGGAUCAAAAAAAGUCUUGCUGGGCUUCCCUGGUGGUGCAG